UUAAGCGACUAAGCGUACACGGUGGAUGCCCUGGCAGUCAGAGGCGAUGAAGGACGUGCUAAUCUGCGAAAAGCGUCGGUAAGGUGAUAUGAACCGUUAUAACCGGCGAUGUCCGAAUGGGGAAACCCAGUGUGUUUCGACACACUAUCAUUAACUGAAUCCAUAGGUUAAUGAGGCGAACCGGGGGAACUGAAACAUCUAAGUACCCCGAGGAAAAGAAAUCAACCGAGAUUCCCCCAGUAGCGGCGAGCGAACGGGGAGGAGCCCAGAGCCUGAAUCAGUGUGUGUGUUAGUGGAAGCGUCUGGAAAGGCGCGCGAUACAGGGUGACAGCCCCGUACACAAAAAUGCACAUGCUGUGAGCUCGAUGAGUAGGGCGGGACACGUGGUAUCCUGUCUGAAUAUGGGGGGACCAUCCUCCAAGGCUAAAUACUCCUGACUGACCGAUAGUGAACCAGUACCGUGAGGGAAAGGCGAAAAGAACCCCGGCGAGGGGAGUGAAAAAGAACCUGAAACCGUGUACGUACAAGCAGUGGGAGCCCUGAUUUAUCAGGGUGACUGCGUACCUUUUGUAUAAUGGGUCAGCGACUUAUAUUCUGUAGCAAGGUUAACCGAAUAGGGGAGCCGGAGGGAAACCGAGUCUUAACUGGGCGUUAAGUUGCAGGGUAUAGACCCGAAACCCGGUGAUCUAGCCAUGGGCAGGUUGAAGGUUGGGUAACACUAACUGGAGGACCGAACCGACUAAUGUUGAAAAAUUAGCGGAUGACUUGUGGCUGGGGGUGAAAGGCCAAUCAAACCGGGAGAUAGCUGGUUCUCCCCGAAAGCUAUUUAGGUAGCGCCUCGUGAAUUCAUCUCCGGGGGUAGAGCACUGUUUCGGCAAGGGGGUCAUCCCGACUUACCAACCCGAUGCAAACUGCGAAUACCGGAGAAUGUUAUCACGGGAGACACACGGCGGGUGCUAACGUCCGUCGUGAAGAGGGAAACAACCCAGACCGCCAGCUAAGGUCCCAAAGUCAUGGUUAAGUGGGAAACGAUGUGGGAAGGCCCAGACAGCCAGGAUGUUGGCUUAGAAGCAGCCAUCAUUUAAAGAAAGCGUAAUAGCUCACUGGUCGAGUCGGCCUGCGCGGAAGAUGUAACGGGGCUAAACCAUGCACCGAAGCUGCGGCAGCGACGCUGAUGCGUUGUUGGGUAGGGGAGCGUUCUGUAAGCCUGUGAAGGUGUGCUGUGAGGCAUGCUGGAGGUAUCAGAAGUGCGAAUGCUGACAUAAGUAACGAUAAAGCGGGUGAAAAGCCCGCUCGCCGGAAGACCAAGGGUUCCUGUCCAACGUUAAUCGGGGCAGGGUGAGUCGACCCCUAAGGCGAGGCCGAAAGGCGUAGUCGAUGGGAAACAGGUUAAUAUUCCUGUACUUGGUGUUACUGCGAAGGGGGGACGGAGAAGGCUAUGUUGGCCGGGCGACGGUUGUCCCGGUUUAAGCGUGUAGGCUGGUUUUCCAGGCAAAUCCGGAGAAUCAAGGCUGAGGCGUGAUGACGAGGCACUACGGUGCUGAAGCAACAAAUGCCCUGCUUCCAGGAAAAGCCUCUAAGCAUCAGGUAACAUCAAAUCGUACCCCAAACCGACACAGGUGGUCAGGUAGAGAAUACCAAGGCGCUUGAGAGAACUCGGGUGAAGGAACUAGGCAAAAUGGUGCCGUAACUUCGGGAGAAGGCACGCUGAUAUGUAGGUGAAGCGACUUGCUCGUGGAGCUGAAAUCAGUCGAAGAUACCAGCUGGCUGCAACUGUUUAUUAAAAACACAGCACUGUGCAAACACGAAAGUGGACGUAUACGGUGUGACGCCUGCCCGGUGCCGGAAGGUUAAUUGAUGGGGUCAGCGCAAGCGAAGCUCUUGAUCGAAGCCCCGGUAAACGGCGGCCGUAACUAUAACGGUCCUAAGGUAGCGAAAUUCCUUGUCGGGUAAGUUCCGACCUGCACGAAUGGCGUAAUGAUGGCCAGGCUGUCUCCACCCGAGACUCAGUGAAAUUGAACUCGCUGUGAAGAUGCAGUGUACCCGCGGCAAGACGGAAAGACCCCGUGAACCUUUACUAUAGCUUGACACUGAACACUGGUCCUUGAUGUGUAGGAUAGGUGGGAGGCUUUGAAGUGUGGACGCCAGUCUGCAUGGAGCCGUCCUUGAAAUACCACCCUUUAAUGGCUGGUGUUCUAACGUUGGCCCGUAAUCCGGGUUGCGGACAGUGUCUGGUGGGUAGUUUGACUGGGGCGGUCUCCUCCUAAAGAGUAACGGAGGAGCACGAAGGUUGGCUAAUCCUGGUCGGACAUCAGGAGGUUAGUGCAAUGGCAUAAGCCAGCUUGACUGCGAGCGUGACGGCGCGAGCAGGUGCGAAAGCAGGUCAUAGUGAUCCGGUGGUUCUGAAUGGAAGGGCCAUCGCUCAACGGAUAAAAGGUACUCCGGGGAUAACAGGCUGAUACCGCCCAAGAGUUCAUAUCGACGGCGGUGUUUGGCACCUCGAUGUCGGCUCAUCACAUCCUGGGGCUGAAGUAGGUCCCAAGGGUAUGGCUGUUCGCCAUUUAAAGUGGUACGCGAGCUGGGUUUAGAACGUCGUGAGACAGUUCGGUCCCUAUCUGCCGUGGGCGCUGGAGAACUGAGGGGGGCUGCUCCUAGUACGAGAGGACCGGAGUGGACGCAUCACUGGUGUUCGGGUUGUCAUGCCAAUGGCACUGCCCGGUAGCUAAAUGCGGAAGAGAUAAGUGCUGAAAGCAUCUAAGCACGAAACUUGCCCCGAGAUGAGUUCUCCCUGAGACUUAGAGUCUCCUGAAGGAACGUUGAAGACGACGACGUUGAUAGGCCGGGUGUGUAAGCGCAGCGAUGCGUUGAGCUAACCGGUACUAAUGAACCGUGAGGCUUAACCUU
rnacentral:rRNA from 1 species